rnacentral:rRNA from 1 species
GAUGAACGCUGGCGGCGUGCCUAAUACAUGCAAGUCGAGCGAACAGACGAGGAGCUUGCUCCUCUGACGUUAGCGGCGGACGGGUGAGUAACACGUGGAUAACCUACCUAUAAGACUGGGAUAACUUCGGGAAACCGGAGCUAAUACCGCAUAAUAUAUUGAACCGCAUGGUUCAAUAGUGAAAGACGGUUUUGCUGUCACUUAUAGAUGGAUCCGCGCCGCAUUAGCUAGUUGGUAAGGUAACGGCUUACCAAGGCAACGAUGCGUAGCCGACCUGAGAGGGUGAUCGGCCACACUGGAACUGAGACACGGUCCAGACUCCUACGGGAGGCAGCAGUAGGGAAUCUUCCGCAAUGGGCGAAAGCCUGACGGAGCAACGCCGCGUGAGUGAUGAAGGUCUUCGGAUCGGAAAACUCUGUUAUUAGGGAAGAACAAAUGUGUAAGUAACUAUGCACGUCUUGACGGUACCUAAUCAGAAAGCCACGGCUAACUACGUG